rnacentral:rRNA from 1 species
AUUGAACGCUGGCGGCAGGCUUAACACAUGCAAGUCGAGCGGGGGAAGGUAGCUUGCUACCGGACCUAGCGGCGGACGGGUGAGUAAUGCUUAGGAAUCUGCCUAUUAGUGGGGGACAACAUCUCGAAAGGGAUGCUAAUACCGCAUACGUCCUACGGGAGAAAGCAGGGGAUCUUCGGACCUUGCGCUAAUAGAUGAGCCUAAGUCGGAUUAGCUAGUUGGUGGGGUAAAGGCCUACUAAGGCGACGAUCUGUAGCGGGUCUGAGAGGAUGAUCCGCCACACUGGGACUGAGACACGGCCCAGACUCCUACGGGAGGCAGCAGUGGGGAAUAUUGGACAAUGGGGGGAACCCUGAUCCAGCCAUGCCGCGUGUGUGAAGAAGGCCUUAUGGUUGUAAAGCACUUUAAGCGAGGAGGAGGCUACUUUAGUUAAUACCUAGAGAUAGUGGACGUUACUCGCAGAAUAAGCACCGGCUAACUCUGUGCCAGCAGCCGCGGUAAUACAGAGGGUGCGAGCGUUAAUCGGAUUUACUGGGCGUAAAGCGUGCGUAGGCGGCUUAUUAAGUCGGAUGUGAAAUCCCCGAGCUUAACUUGG